rnacentral:rRNA from 1 species
GACAGAGGAGCCAAGCGUUGUCCGGAUUGACUGGGCGUAAAGCGCACGCAGGCGGGUGCGCGCGUGGGGUGUGAAACCUGGCCGCCUUAACGGCCAGCGGCCGAUCCCAUACGGCGCGCCUGGAGCCUUGCAGAGGGCGGUGGAAUUGCCGGUGUAGUGGUGAAAUGCGUAGAGAUCGGCAGGAACACCCAGGGGGAAAC